rnacentral:pre_miRNA from 1 species
UACGGCUAAGGGAACCUUUACCGGCGCAGGCUGGUAAAGAGUCUUUAGCCGUCCC